GACGAACGCUGGCGGCGUGCUUAACACAUGCAAGUCGAACGGAAAGGCCCUGCUUUUGUGGGGUGCUCGAGUGGCGAACGGGUGAGUAACACGUGAGUAACCUGCCCUUGACUUUGGGAUAACUUCAGGAAACUGGGGCUAAUACCGGAUAGGUGCUCCUGCUGCAUGGUGGGGGUUGGAAAGUUUCGGCGGUUGGGGAUGGACUCGCGGCUUAUUAGCUUGUUGGUGGGGUAGUGGCUUACCCAGGCUUUGACGGGUAGCCGGCCUGGGAGGGUGACCGGCCACAUUGGGACUGAGAUACGGCCCAGACUCCUACGGGAGGCAGCAGUGGGGAAUAUUGCACAAUGGGCGGAAGCCUGAUGCAGCAACGCCGCGUGCGGGAUGACGGCCUUCGGGGUGUAAACCGCUUUCGCCUGUGACGAAGCGUGAGUGACGGUAAUGGGUAAAGAAGCACCGGCUAACUACGUG
rnacentral:rRNA from 1 species